GACGAACGCUGGCGGCGUGCCUAAUACAUGCAAGUCGAACGCACAGUUUAUACCGUAGCUUGCUACACCAUAGACUGUGAGUUGCGAACGGGUGAGUAACGCGUAGGUAACCUGCCUGGUAGCGGGGGAUAACUAUUGGAAACGAUAGCUAAUACCUCAUAAUAUUGAUUAUUGCAUGAUAAUUAAUUGAAAGGUGCAAUUGCACCACUACCAGAUGGACCUGCGUUGUAUUAGCUAGUAGGUGAGGUAACGGCUCACCUAGGCGACGAUACAUAGCCGACCGGAGAGGGUGAGCGGCCACACUGGGACGGAGACACGGCCCAGAGGCCUACGGGAGGCAGCAGGAGGGAAUCGUCGGCAAUGGACGAAAGUCUGACCGAGCAACGCCGCGGGAGGGAAGAAGGGUGUCGGAUCGUAAAGCUCGGUUGUAAGAGAAGAACGGGUGUGAGAGUGGAAAGUUCACACUGUGACGGUAUCUUACCAGAAAGGGACGGCUAACUACGUG
rnacentral:rRNA from 1 species